AUGCAGAUUGUGGUCUGCAUCGACGACAUCUGGAAGAUGGUGGAUCUGGGUUCGUGGUUCGUGGCAGGCAGGUAUGGUUUCCUCCUCCAACGUCUUAGUUGCGCGGGGGUGCCGGAUCUGGAGUUUGAUGGCGUGUCCGGGGUGUUGCCUCGGUCUGAUUCGUUCAACGGCAAUGACUUCGCCUUUAUUGGCGAGCCACCUUGGAGGUCCGCAAAGCUGCAUAUCAGCGAUGGAGCCGCGUCGAGCUCGGCUGUGGAGGUGAUCCGUCAUUUUCUCCUUUGGUGGCUGCUAUGGUGGUGCCAGAGGCAGGUGACGGGCGUUGGUGUCAAGCUCAGAGGAUUCUUCAGUCUUGUUUGUAAUUUUACUUCUUGGUUGGUGUUCCUGUGUGUAAAGGCUAGCGUUCUGCUGUCUUUCCAGAUUUGUCCGAUCGGUAUGUACGUGGCUUGUACUAUGAGCCUUAUGAUAUAA
rnacentral:rRNA from 1 species